GACAGCAGCAGCCGCGGUAAUACGGAGGGUGCAAGCGUAUCCGGAUUCACUGGGUUUAAAGGGUGCGUAGGCGGAUCUAUAAGUCAGUGGUGAAAUCUCCAGGCUUAACCUGGAAACUGCCGUUGAUACUAUAGGUCUUGAAUUUUGUGGAGGUUAGCGGAAUAUGUCAUGUAGCGGUGAAAUGCAUAGAUAUGACAUAGAACACCAAUUGCGAAGGCAGCUGGCUACACAACUAUUGACGCUGAGGCACGAAAGCGUGGGGAUCAAACAGGAUUAGAUACCCGGGUAGUCCCUGUCUCUUAUACA
rnacentral:rRNA from 1 species